AUUGAACGCUGGCGGCAUGCCUUACACAUGCAAGUCGAACGGUAACAGGUUAAGCUGACGAGUGGCGAACGGGUGAGUAAUAUAUCGGAACGUGCCUAGUCGCGGGGGAUAACGUAGCGAAAGCUACGCUACUACCGCAUACGAUCUACGGAUGCAAGCGGGGGAUCGCAAGACCUCGCGCGAUUGGAGCGGCCGAUAUCAGAUUAGGUUGUUGGUGAGGUAAAAGCUCACCAAGCCUGCGAUCUGUAGCUGGUCUGAGAGGACGACCAGCCACACUGGAACUGAGACACGGUCCAGACUCCUACGGGAGGCAGCAGUGGGGAAUUUUGGACAAUGGACGCAAGUCUGAUCCAGCAAUGCCGCGUGCAGGACGAAGGCCUUCGGGUUGUAAACUGCUUUUGUACGGAACGAAACGGUGAGCUCUAAUACAGUUUGCUAAUGACGGUACCGUAAGAAUAAGCACCGGCUAACUACGUGCCAGCAGCCGCGGUAA
rnacentral:rRNA from 1 species